AGAGUUUGAUCCUGGCUCAGGACGAACGCUGGCGGCGUGCUUAACACAUGCAAGUCGAACGGUGAAGCUCCAGCUUGCUGGAGUGGAUCAGUGGCGAACGGGUGAGUAACACGUGAGCAACCUGCCCCGGACUCUGGAAUAAGCGCUGGAAACGGCGUCUAAUACUGGAUACGAGACUGGCCCGCAUGGGCAUGGUCUGGAAAGUUUUUCGGUCUGGGAUGGGCUCGCGGCCUAUCAGCUUGUUGGUGAGGUAAUGGCUCACCAAGGCGACGACGGGUAGCCGGCCUGAGAGGGCGACCGGCCACACUGGGACUGAGACACGGCCCAGACUCCUACGGGAGGCAGCAGUGGGGAAUAUUGCACAAUGGGCGAAAGCCUGAUGCAGCGACGCCGCGUGAGGGAUGACGGCCUUCGGGUUGUAAACCUCUUUCAGCAGGGAAGAAGCGAAAGUGACGGUACCUGCAGAAGAAGCACCGGCUAACUACGUGCCAGCAGCCGCGGUAAUACGUAGGGUGCGAGCGUUGUCCGGAAUUAUUGGGCGUAAAGGGCUUGUAGGCGGUUUGUCGCGUCUGCUGUGAAAAUCCGGGGCUCAACCCCGGACUUGCAGUGGGUACGGGCAGACUAGAGUGUGGUAGGGGAGACUGGAAUUCCUGGUGUAGCGGUGAAAUGCGCAGAUAUCAGGAGGAACACCGAUGGCGAAGGCAGGUCUCUGGGCCACUACUGACGCUGAGAAGCGAAAGCAUGGGGAGCGAACAGGAUUAGAUACCCUGGUAGUCCAUGCCGUAAACGUUGGGCGCUAGGUGUGGGACUCAUUCCACGAGUUCCGUGCCGCAGCUAACGCAUUAAGCGCCCCGCCUGGGGAGUACGGCCGCAAGGCUAAAACUCAAAGGAAUUGACGGGGGGCCCGCACAAGCGGGGGAGCAUGCGGGAUUAAUUCGAUGCACGCCGAAGAACCUUCCCAAGGGUUGGCAUAUACCCGGAAACAUCCCCAAGAAGGGUGGCCCCCUUUUUGGUGGGGAUACAAGGGGGGGCAAGUGUUGUCCCCCACCUCCCGGCCCUGAGAG
rnacentral:rRNA from 1 species